rnacentral:rRNA from 1 species
AUCUGCCCUGAAGAAAGAUAAUCCCGGGAAACUGGGGGUAAUGCUCUAUAGUUCGGGAGAACUGGAAUGUUCUCCGGAUGAAAGAUCCGUCGCUUCAGGAUGAGUCUGCGGCCGAUUAGGUAGUUGUUGGGGUAAAAGCCCAACAAGCCUGUCAUCGGUACGGGUUGUGGGAGCAAGAGCCCGGAGAUGGAUUCUGAGACACGAAUCCAGGCCCUACGGGGCGCAGCAGGCGCGAAAACUUUACAAUGCGGGCAACCGUGAUAAGGAAACCCCGAGUGCCACCACAGGGUGGCUGUCCACCAGUGUAAACAACUGGUGAAGAAAGGGCCGGGCAAGACCGGUGCCAGCCGCCGCGGUAAUACCGGCGGCUCGAGUGGUGGCCGCUUUUACUGGGCUUAAAGGGUCCGUAGCUGGAUCUGUGUGUCCCUUGAGAAAUCCAUCGGCUUAACUGAUGGGCGUUCAGGGGAAACUGCAGUUCUAGGGACCGGGAGAGGUGAGAGGUACUGCCGGGGUAGGAGUGAAAUCCUGUAAUCCCGGUGGGACGACCUAUGGCGAAGGCAUCUCACCAGAACGGCUCCGACAGUGAGGGACGAAAGCUGGGGGAGCAAACCGGAUUAGAUACCCGGGUAGUCCCAGCUGUAAACGAUGCGCAUUAGGUGUGUCAGUGACCACGUGUCACUGAGGUGCCGAAGGGAAACCGUGAAAUGCGCCGCCUGGGGAGUACGGUCGCAAGGCUGAAACUUAA